CAGUCGCCGCGGGAAUACGGAGGGGGCUAGCGUUGUUCGGAAUUACUGGGCGUAAAGCGCACGUAGGCGGCUUGGUAAGUUAGAGGUGAAAGCCCGGAGCUCAACUCCGGAAUUGCCUUUAAGACUGCCGAGCUAGCAGGUGAGAGAGGUAAGUGGAAUUCCGAGUGUAGAGGUGAAAUUCGUAGAUAUUCGGAAGAACACCAGUGGCGAAGGCGGCUUACUGGCUCAUACUGGACGCUGAGGUGCGAAAGCGUGGGGAGCAAACGGGAUUAGAUACCCCAGUAGUCCCUGUCUCUUAUAC
rnacentral:rRNA from 1 species